rnacentral:rRNA from 1 species
UUAUUAUUUUAUUAUUAAUUUAUAUUAUUAAUUUAAUUUAAUUAAAAUAAUAUUUAAUUUUAGUAUAUUUUAUUGAAAUAUUUAUUUUAAUGAUAGUAUAUCAGUACUGUAAAGGGUGAAUAAUAUUUAUGUAAAAGUAUGAUUAUUUCAGUACCUUUUGUAUCAGGGUUUAUUUAUUAAAAUUUAAUGAUGUUAAUUUUCCCGAAAUUAAAGGAGAUAAAAUUAAAUGUAAUUUUAUGUUAUAUAAUAAUUUAUAAUUUAAUUUUAGUAAUUACAUGUUAUUCAACUUUAAAUAUCUGGUUAUCUUAGAAUUAAAUUUAAUUUAGAAUUAUUUUAGUUAAUUUAUAAUUUAAUUUAAUUUAAUUAGAAUAAUUUAAUAUUGUUAGGGAUUAGCUUAAUUUUAUUAUGUAUAAUUAUUAUAAAUAUUUUUUAACUGUAGGUUUAGAAAUGGCCAUCUUUUAUUUUGUUAUAAUUAAUUUUUUAAAUUAAUUUAUUUAUAUAUAAUUUAUAUUUAUAUAAGGUAUAAAAAUUAAAUGAUAUUAUUUUUGAUUUAAUGAUAAAAUUAGUAGAUUUUAAAUUUAAAUUUAGGAACUCGGCAAGUAUUUCCUUUGCCUGUUUAACAAAAACAUGUCUUAUAUGUUAAUUAAUUUUAAGUCUGACCUGCUCAAUGAUUAUUUUAAAUUGCUAUAGUAUUUUAACUAUACAAAGGUAGCAUAAUAAUUUGUCUUUUAAUUGGAGGCUGGAAUGAAUGGUUGGACAAAAGGUGAACUUUCUUAAUUUAAAUUAUAAUUAAAUUUAAUUUUUUUGUAAAAAAGCUUAAAUUAAGUUGUGGGACGAGAAGACCCUAUAGAAAUUUAAUUAAUAUAUUAAUUUUUUGCUAUAGUUUAUUUUACAGUAUUUUAGUAUUUUAAUUUGUGUUGGGGUGACAGUAGAAAAUUAUUAACUUCUAUUAUUAAAUAAUCAUAAAUUAAUGUUUUAUUGAUCCUUUUAUAUGGAUUAUAAGAUUAAUUUACCUUAGGGAUAACAGCGUUAUUACUCUGGAGAGUUCUUAUUGAUGGAGUAGUUUGCGACCUCGAUGUUGGAUUAAAGUUAGAUUUAUAGUGCAGGAGCUUAAUUUCUAGGUCUGUUCGACCUUUAAAUCUUUACAUGAUCUGAGUUCAAACCGGCGUGAGCCAGGUUGGUUUCUAUCUACAAUUAUUAAUUAAUAUUAUAGUACGAAAGGACCUAAUAUUUUUAAUACUUAAUUAAUUAUUGAUUAAUAUUA